UUUUUUUUGAUUAAAAUUUAAAAUAUGUUCUGCUCANUGAUUUUAUUUAAUAGCUGCAGUAAUUUAACUGUACAAAGGUAGCAUAAUAAAUUGUUAUUUAAAUGAUAACUUGUAUGAAGGAAUUAAUGAAAUAUAAACUUUAUUUAAAUAAUAUAUUGAAUUUUAUUUUUAAGUAAAAAAGCUUAAAUUUUUUAUUGGGACGAGAAGACCCUAUAGAAUUUUAUAUUUAAAAUAAAUUAAUUUAUUUUAAAUAUUUUUUUGGGGAGAAAAUAAAAUUUAAAUUACUUUUAUUAAUAAUUUAAACAUAAAUAAAUGUUUUGGAAAGAAUUUAUUAAAAUAAAUUAAAGAUUAAAUUACCUUAGGGAUAACAGUGUAAUAUUUUUUUAUAGUUCUUAUAGAAAAAAAUGUUU
rnacentral:rRNA from 1 species